CUCCAAAGAGCUGCACAACUUAGCAUUAGUCUUUUAAACUAAAGAAAAUAUAUUAAUUAUUUUUGGAGA
rnacentral:tRNA from 1 species